AGAAGCCUGACUAAGGGCUUCUUUUUUUGUUGAUGGAAAGAAAUUUCGUUAUUGCUAACGCUUACAUCUUCCGCUAUAAUGAAAUCGACGGAAUCGUCGGAUUAUAAUUAUUGGAGGCUUUACACACUAUGGAACAUGGGAAAGUAAAAUGGUUCAACAACGAAAAAGGGUUUGGUUUUAUUACAGUUGACGGUGGCGAUGAUGUAUUUGUUCACUUCUCUGCCAUUCAAGGAGAUGGGUUUAAAUCGCUUGAAGAAGGACAAGAAGUUGAAUUUACGAUCGUUGAAGGUGCCCGCGGACCGCAGGCAGCGGAAGUAACCAAAGUCUAAAUCAGAACAAAAAAGCUGAGUAACCUCUCAGCUUUUUUAA
rnacentral:sRNA from 1 species